GGCGCUGAUGGGCGACGGCAUCGGCCACGUCGCCAUGACCGGCGUCGGCCUCGGCUUCCUGCUGAACUCCAGCCCGGUCUGGAUGGCGACG
rnacentral:tRNA from 1 species